AUAUCCCCGCAGUGAAUGUGACAACAUCUGAUUCACGAAUACAUAUUCAUUAUUGGAAGAAUAUGAACAUAAAAUUGGUAUUGAAUAUACCACACUCACCCCUAGAAGGAGGUUUGAGAUGAUAUAUGAAAAUAAUGUCAUUGUUAUGGCAUGAAUGGUCAUUUGUCACGUACCUAUUGUACGCCAAAAUAAUUUGUCACUGUGAUUAUCAAAGGACGAUAAUAAUGCAAGAAACAUAUCUUGCAUAUAAUUUUGACAUGACCNN
rnacentral:lncRNA from 1 species